AGAGUUUGAUCCUGGCUCAGGAUGAACGCUAGCGGCAGGCUUAAUACAUGCAAGUCGUGGGGCAGCGCAGGUAGCAAUACUGGGCGGCGACCGGCAAACGGGUGCGGAACACGUACACAACCUUCCUUCAAGUGGGGAAUAGCCCAGAGAAAUUUGGAUUAAUACCCCGUAACAUAACGAUGUGGCAUCACAUUGUUAUUAUAGCUUCGGCGCUUGUUGAUGGGUGUGCGGCUGAUUAGAUAGUUGGCGGGGUAACGGCCCACCAAGUCUACGAUCAGUAGCUGAUGUGAGAGCAUGAUCAGCCACACGGGCACUGAGACACGGGCCCGACUCCUACGGGAGGCAGCAGUAAGGAAUAUUGGUCAAUGGACGAAAGUCUGAACCAGCCAUGCCGCGUGAAGGAUUAAGGUCCUCUGGAUUGUAAACUUCUUUUAUCUGGGACGAAAAAAGGCGAUUCUUCGUCACUUGACGGUACCAGAUGAAUAAGCACCGGCUAACUCCGUGCCAGCAGCCGCGGUAAUACGGAGGGUGCAAGCGUUAUCCGGAUUCAC
rnacentral:rRNA from 1 species